rnacentral:rRNA from 1 species
AGUGAACGCUGGCGGCGUGCCUAAUACAUGCAAGUCGAACGGAGUGGCGCACGGGUGAGUAAUAUAUAGCUAAUCUGCCCCUUGCUGGAGGACAACAGUUAGAAAUGCCUGCUAAUACUCCAUAGCAAGGGAUGAGACUAUAUCGUAUCAGCUAGUCGGUGGGGUAACGGCCUACCGAGGCUAUGACGAGUAACUGGUCUGAGAGGAUGAUCAGUAACAUUGUAAGUGAGACACGAUCCAAAAUCCUACGGGAAGGAGCAGUAGGGAAUAUUGCGCAAGGGGGGAAACCGUGACGGAGCAACGCCGCGUGGAGGAUGACACUUUUAGGAGCGUAAACUCCUUUUGAUAGGGAAGCGGUACCUAACGAAUAAGCACCGGCUAACUCCGUGCCAGCCGCCGCGGUAAUUC